UGCAGGACCCCUCUUGGCUUAUGCAGAAAAAUUUUUCAGCAAAAAGGGUCUGCAGCAUAUGUUAUUUGCUUCUUUGUUGAGGUUGGGCAUGUAUCUUUUAUAUAUCUGUGCCUAUCAUGUUGAUGUGAUGGUAAAAUGGUAUUUUUGAGGGACUAAAAAGAAAUUAUGCUAGUGAGGAGUGAUUCCUAUAGCCAAAGAUGUCAAAAACAAAGCUUGAAAGUUGAAGAAUGCAAAGUGGCCAAAAUGUGCAUAACUUGCCGCAUAAGCUAUACAGUUCUACACAGGGAGAAGAAGCAAUUUUCCAAGCCCGCCGAAAUCUGUAUAAGUCACUGCAUGACUUAUGCAGACUUACUCCUUGCUUAUGCAGCUUCACACAGAGAGCCCAAAACCUGCCGAAAACUGCAUAAGGGCCUGCAUAAUUUGUACAGUCCACUUAUGCAGUUUUAUAAAGUCUCCAAAGCUUAAAAAAACUGCACAACCAACCUACAUAGCUUAUGCAACAUCACGAAAAACACCUGGAACCACCAAUUUUGCAUGGAAUCUGCAUAAGAAACUUGCAUAACAUGUGCAACUCUUCAUAAUGAGCUGGCAGAAGAUUCCCUCACGUGAACUUCACCUCAAACACACCAUUUUAGGGCUAGUUGUCAAAAAAAGACAUAAAUAAGUCCUUAUCCCAUUUCAAAAAAAGGAGGAAAGAAGAAGAAAGUGGGGAGAGACAGAGAAAACGUUAGAAAACAGAGCAAGGGGGCACCACUUCCCUUUUUUGGAUCAGAUUUGGCUUCUUCUUCUUUUCUUCCCUAUUUCACACUUUUCUUGUAUUGGGUUUCUUAGUUCUUAGCAUAGACUCAAGUUUUAUUUCCAUAUUAACUCAUAAUUUCUUGUAAAUAUUAUGGAUAGUGAGUAGUUUUCAUUAGAUUCUGGAGUUAGGAUGUAAUAUUUGAGAUAUUUUGUGAAUUUUGAUUAGGUAAUCUAUAUUUUGUAGUUUUAAUGAA